rnacentral:rRNA from 1 species
AGAGUUUGAUCAUGGCUCAGAACGAACGCUGGUGGCGUGUCUUAUACAUGCAAGUCGAGCGAGGCAGCAAUGCCGAGCGGCGAACGGGUGAGUAACGCGUAAGCAAUCUGCCCCAUAUCAGGAAAUACCCGUGCCAACGCGCGGUUAAUGUCCAGGAGAGUGGCCAGCUGCAUGGCUGGUUGACUAGAGAUUUAUCGGUAUGGGAUGAGCUUGCGUCCGAUUAGCUAGUUGGGCGGGGCAACGGCCCAACCAAGGCGACGAUCGGUAGCCGGCCUGAGAGGGUGAGUCGGCCACAGUUGGGACUGAGAGUACCGGCCCAGACUCCGUACGGGAGGCAGCAGGUAGGAAUAUUGCACAAUGGGGGAAACCCUGAUGCAGCAACGCCACGUGUGGGAAGAAGCAUUUCGGUGUGUAAACCACUGUCAUGAGGGAAUAAGGCCCGCCUUCGGACGGGAUUGAAUGUACCUUGAGAGGAAGCACCGGCAAACUUCGUGCCAGCCGCGGC